rnacentral:rRNA from 1 species
GACGAACGCUGGCGGCGUGCCUAACACAUGCAAGUCGAACGGAAAGGCCCUGCUCUUGUGGGGUGCUCGAGUGGCGAACGGGUGAGUAACACGUGAGUAACCUGCCCUUGACUUUGGGAUAACUUCAGGAAACUCGGGCUAAUACCGGAUAGGAGCUCCUGCUGCAUGGUGGGGGUUGGAAAGUUUCGGCGGUUGGGGAUGGACUCGCGGCUUAUCAGCUUGUUGGUGGGGUAGUGGCUUACCAAGGCUUUGACGGGUAGCCGGCCUGAGAGGGUGACCGGCCACAUUGGGACUGAGAUACGGCCCAGACUGCUACGGGAGGCAGCAGUGGGGAAUAUUGCACAAUGGGCGGAAGCCUGAUGCAGCAACGCCGCGUGCGGGAUGACGGCCUUCGGGUUGUAAACCGCUUUCGCCUGUGACGAAGCGUGAGUGACGGUAAUGGGUAAAGAAGCACCGGCUAACUACGUG